rnacentral:misc_RNA from 1 species
GAUGAAGAACGUAGCGAAAUGCGAUAAGUAAUGUGAAUUGCAGAAUUCAGUGAAUCAUCGAAUCUUUGAACGCACAUUGCGCCCCCUGGUAUUCCGGGGGGCAUGCCUGUUCGAGCGUCAUUUCACCACUCAAGCCUCGCUUGGUAUUGGGCAUCGCGGUCCGCCGCGCGCCUCAAAUCGACCGGCUGGGUCUUCUGUCCCCUAAGCGUUGUGGAAACUAUUCGCUAAAGGGUGUUCGGGAGGCUACGCCGUAAAACAACCCCAUUUCUAAGGUUGACCUCGGAUCAGGUAGGGAUACCCGCUGAACUUAAGCAUAUCAAUAAGCGGAGG